rnacentral:rRNA from 1 species
UACGGGAGGCAGCAGUGGGGAAUAUUGCACAAUGGGCGAAAGCCUGAUGCAGCUAUGCCGCGUGUAUGAAGAAGGCCUUAGGGUUGUAAAGUACUUUCAUCGGGGAGGAAAAAACAAAACUAAUAAUUUUAUUUCUUGACGUUACCCGAAAAAGAAGCACCGGCUAACUCCGUGCCAGCAGCCGCGGUAAUACGGAGGGUGCUAGCGUUAAUCAGAAUUACUGGGCGUAAAGAGCACGUAGGUGGUUUUUUUAAAGUCAGAUGUGAAAUCCCUGGGCUUAACCUAGGAACUGCAUUUUGAAACUGAAAUACUAGAGUAUCGUAGAGGGAGGUAGAAUUCUAGGUGUAGCGGUGAAAUGCGUAGAUAUCUGGAGGAAUACCUGUGGCGAAAGCGGCCUCCUAAACGAAUACUGACACUGAGGGUGCGAAAGCGUGGGGAGCAAACGAGGGAUUAGAU